rnacentral:sRNA from 1 species
UACAGUUUACGCCUGUCCGGGUAGAUGC